UACCCCCUUUUCACUUUGCCAAUUGGACUUAGGUUUUCAUUAGUCACUCAAAUGGGGCAAAGGAAACAUCCUUUUAAAACUCAAGCAAACUACCCUGACUGGUUUGGCUCAGCGGUUAGAGCAUUGGCCU